GACAGGAUGGCCGAGCGGUCAAAGGUGCCAGACUCAAGGCACUUCUUUGCCCUAUUAGGCAGGGUUAAUGAGUGUUCUAGUCCACGAAUGUGGGCGUGGGUUCGAAUCCCACUUCUGACA
rnacentral:tRNA from 1 species